UCCGUAGGUGAACCUGCGGAAGGAUCAUUACCUAGAGUUUGUAGACUUCGGCCUGCUACCUCUUACCCAUGUCUUUUGAGUACCUUCGUUUCCUCGGCGGGUCCGCCCGCCGAUUGGACAACAUUCAAACCCUUUGCAGUUGCAAUCAGCGUCUGAAAAAACAUAAUAGUUACAACUUUCAACAACGGAUCUCUUGGUUCUGGCAUCGAUGAAGAACGCAGCGAAAUGCGAUAAGUAGUGUGAAUUGCAGAAUUCAGUGAAUCAUCGAAUCUUUGAACGCACAUUGCGCCCCUUGGUAUUCCAUGGGGCAUGCCUGUUCGAGCGUCAUUUGUACCUUCAAGCUCUGCUUGGUGUUGGGUGUUUUGUCUCGCCUCUGCGUGUAGACUCGCCUUAAAACAAUUGGCAGCCGGCGUAUUGAUUUCGGAGCGCAGUACAUCUCGCGCUUUGCACUCAUAACGGCGACGUCCAAAAGUACAUUUUUACACUCUUGACCUCGGAUCAGGUAGGGAUACCCGCUGAACUUAAGCAUAUCAAUAAGCGGAGGAA
rnacentral:rRNA from 1 species